GAGCCUUCUUUGGCAGCACAUAUACUAAAAUUGGAACAAUACAGAGAAAAUUAGCAAGGUUGACACACAAAUUCGUGAAGCACUCCCUAUUUUU
rnacentral:snRNA from 1 species